GCCCCCUCGCUCGUCUCCUCUCCUCCUGCUACACCUCGGCAACGAGCGGACGCCCCUCUCCCCCACAUCCGGCUCCCAUCACGCGCAUGGAGGUUCAACCGAACCUUCACCACCGCUAUCUGCAGCCAUCCUCGACGUUGUUAGGCUUGCUGCACCAUCGUAGGAACCACGCCGAGGACGGAGAACACAUCUGUGCCAGGGCUGAUCUGCGGCCUCUCGGAUCCAGCGAAGCCCCCUUGGUUGGGGUUCCCAAACCACGACCCCGUCCUCCUCCAAGCCGAAUCCGGGGAGAAGCCGCCGGGCAGGAAGGAUUGGCUUGUAGAUCCAGACCAAGGCCUACAUAUGGUUGUGAUACUCCAUUAGCAAAGCAACUCCGUCCCCUCCACAUUUCAGAGGAGAAGUGCAAGCCUGCCCACUGCUACCGCCGCCGUCCUACAUGCGAGCCUGCCUGGGUUGUGACCUGCGCAACUGCCCAAAAAGGAAUUCGCUCCCAAUAUGGUGACUUUUCAAGUGACUUUCUUUAGGCUUCAGACGACCUGACACGGUUCAUGACAAAUGAUCCUCUCAAAGCGUAGCUAUGUGCAUGUAUUUUCCCUGGCAACCCAAUGGGACAGAGCUACCUAUGAUGGUUGACAUGGACUGUGCUCAGUUGAUUGCCGACAUGCUCAAUAGUGUGUUCCUCUGUUAAAGGUAAGCUAGAGAACUAGCAACCAGGGGCAUACAUUGACAUGGAGUGGAUGGCAAGACACACAGAGGAAAUGCAACGCAUCAAGGUAGCAAGAAGUUGGUGUUUUGUGCUGAUUUGCAUGUGAUUUGAUAGGUACUGACAUUUAAUUUUGCACUAAGGGUAAAUUGAUGAUUUAGCACCAUCGCUUCAUUAUUAAUUUAAGUUAAUGUCUGAAUUCAUUAUACAAUAGCUUAUUUUUGUACAUACAACAAUAGUUUAGUUCUAGGUGCUCCUUCUCUAUCUCCUGUCAAAAAGUAAACAAUUGAAGGAAGAGCUUAGAGAAUAAGGACUGACUUUCCAAUAUAAGAAAAUCAUUCAAUUAUUAACAUAGAUUAGUGUAAGCAGCUUCUUGUCAAGACGUUAUAUAGCUUAUUUUUGUAACUAUAAAUCUGUGAUAUAUUUUCUGUUAGUAGUUGUGCUUUCAGUAAGAAAGUCUGGUCAGUUGCUUCCUUACAUAGUUGUCUGCAAGCAAAACAUACUUACGGUUUCAAUAGAUUGUAUUUACAUUUUUUGGCAAAAUAUAUUUUAUUUACUUGAAUUUUUACAAUAAGUGGGAACAAAAUUCCUGCUGCCAACAUAUUCCCAGUUCAUUUACAUUGAUCAUCUCCAAUAAUAUAUAACUAAGAUGGAUUUUAUAUUCGCAAACAUGUGAAAACUUUCUUCCAAAACUCUGAGUUUGGUGUAAAUAUUGUUUCUCUUAAUGCAUCAAUUUCUUAGAGCAAAUCAUUCUCCGGUUAUAUUCCCUAACUAUUGACAAGAAUCUCCUGUACAUAUUAUCGGACCAUGAACUUGCCUAGGGAUGUCGUCCAAGUUCGAAUAUUAGAUUAGAAGCUGUCUUAUUUAUUGACGAAGGGCAUGAAAAACUUGUUCAAACUUUUGUAACACUGAUAUUGAAAUAUAACUAAAAUUUCCCUUCUAAAGUAUGUUAGAACUAACGUUUGUGCAAGAACAUUAUGGCAGGGGAGAGCAACGGGACUGAAAAAUAAAAUUGUACAUGCCAAAAUAUUCAUGUAUAUAUCCUUUUUCCAAAUUUAUAUACAAAUUUUGGCAUAUACUUGCUGUACGUUUAUUUCUUGAUCUUAUUUUCUGGUUCUUAGAACUUUCUCAUGCAUAUGUGUAUUGCGCUGCUGCCAGCUUUCACGUUCCUUGUGGCUAGAAUUGCUCAUGUACUUAUGAAGGCAUACAUAUGAUAUGUAUGUUCUAAAUGAGCAUAAGCAUCCAAAAUUUAUGUGGCUCGAAUUGCUCAUCCAUCUUACUUUUCCCUAUGACAUGAUUUCCGCAAGGAAUACAGUCAGGUACUUGGUUUCUCAGUCCGCCUCUAUUAUCUCGAUAAGCACGUUUUUCUAUUAUGCCUCCGUUUUUCUCUGCGCAUUAUUUUAGUUAGCUUUUGUAGGUUCACUAUAAUCUCAUACAUUAUAUGGCCAAGGCGUUGUCUUCGUUUCCUAUGCUCAUUUGUAGAUCCAGGUGUGCAGGCGUGAUCUACAAUAUCUUGAUGUUGAUUCUAAAAUCUUGAGUAGUGGGUAAUUAAGAAGUGGCAUCAACUCUUGAGAGAUAACAUGAUUUCUCUUGAUUUUGUAUUAUGGUUCUUAGAAUGUCACUGUGCUCUAUGCAGUUAGGCUUAUUAAGAUGUAGACACUAUUUUCUUGCGUUAGCAAUGAUUGCUUAUAUGAUUUACACAUCUUUCAGGAAUUAUUGCAAGGCCUAGCGGUGGACGCCUGGAGGAGGGUUUGGUAAAUGGCAGAGGCAUCGGAGGCUUUCUCUGUAGUGCUUUAUAAGUUCAUGGAACCUGUGGAAAAAUGGCUUAGGGCUGAGCAUCUUCAACAUUGUGCACGAGGUACAAUGUGUGUUUCUUCUGUUGCUAUGCCUGAGCAGCGAGAACAAUAUAUUUCAGCAUCUUGGGAUAGUUCUGUUUGGCAAUGGAAUACUGAAUCAGGGAAACAAACAUGGAAUAAGAUUUCACAGACGAAGGGAACCGGCAGGGGCAGCAGCGUUGUGCAGCAGCUGACUACUCUCGUUGUGCAUCGUUGCAUGGAGGUGGAGGUGGUCCUUAGGGUGGUGACGACUGACGAGCAAGGAGAAAGGGAGUGAGGUGGUGGAGGCGAGGGCGGUCGUGCUGGUCGAUUGUGCCUGCCUGUAGCCAACUGGUCUGAGUGGCACAACGGCCGUGCUAUGCAAGCACCAUAUGUGUGUCCACGUUCCUCAAUAUUUUCAUUGAUGCUCGCCCUGAUGCCUGCCUUGGUACAUGUCAUUUCUUGGUCCUACACAUAACUGAAAUUACAUAGAUGAAGCUUGUGAAUUUGUCAUGCAUUGUUUCAAUAAGACUUUGGUGCUACUUAUUUCUCUUAUUGUGAGUACAUAAAUUGUUUGUACAUAAAUUUGUGAGCGUUGCGAGCAGUACUGGAUCCCUUCCUUCAAUCUGUAUGAGCACAGAUGUGUGUCACCUUUAGUGGAAUGUUUGUUUUAUUUA